rnacentral:lncRNA from 1 species
GCCCAAUACAUGAGAGGGGGACUAUAUAAGAAUCAAUGAAGUUGUCACUAUCACAAACUACCCCGCGAUCUGGCAUAUUGGGUACAAUCGUAGAUAAAUACGGUAUAAGCACCAUGCCUGCACAAUAUCUAUCAUUUACCCAUGGAUCCGAUGGAUAAACGCUAUACGAUCCUAAACAUGUAUAUAGAUCCAAUCUAAUUAAGCCAA